CUGGUUGAUUCUGCCAGUAGUCAUAUGCUUGUCUCAAAGAUUAAGCCAUGCAUGUCUAAGUAUAAGCAACUAUACGGUGAAACUGCGAAUGGCUCAUUAAAUCAGUUAUCGUUUAUUUGAUAGUACCUUACUACUUGGAUAACCGUGGUAAUUCUAGAGCUAAUACAUGCUAAAAACCCCGACUUCGGAAGGGGUGUAUUUAUUAGAUAAAAAACCAAUGCCCUUCGGGGCUCCUUGGUGAUUCAUAAUAACUUAACGAAUCGCAUGGCCUUGUGCCGGCGAUGGUUCAUUCAAAUUUCUGCCCUAUCAACUUUCGAUUGUAAGGUCUUGGCUUACAAUGGUUUCAACGGGUAACGGGGAAUUAGGGUUCUAUUCCGGAGAGGGAGCCUGAGAGACGGCUACCACAUCCAAGGAAGGCAGCAGGCGCGCAAAUUACCCAAUCCCGACACGGGGAGGUAGUGACAAUAAAUACUGAUACAGGGCUCUUUUGGGUCUUGUAAUUGGAAUGAGUACAAUUUAAAUCCCUUAACGAGGAACAAUUGGAGGGCAAGUCUGGUGGGCUCGGCCCCAUAGAUCGAAGAUCUAUAUGCUGCUGACGCCAGAAAUCAUAGGCUCUAUAGCCUAUGAGUCGACUACACGAAAGCUUUGGGUGUGUAGCGGCAAGACAACCUGGAUCGGGGGAGGCUAAGGUCUGGAUUCAUCCUGGCUAUGCUAACCUCGAGCUGAGCUACCUUGUGUAGCCGGUGUAGAGCGCGCAAAGGUGUCGGUCCCCUACGCCAAAGUAGGGGGCUUAAGGUACGUGCCGUCUCACACGAAAGUGUGCUCCUAGAUGAAGAGCUCCCAAAGGGCGAAUCUCUAGGGGGUAUAUCUUAGGAUAUAUAGAGAUAGACUAUCUGUUUGAUCUGUUAAGUUAGGGGGAUCCUGUGGGGACCUGGGGGAUUAUUCAAGUUAUUUUCCUACUGUCAUUUUCCUUUUGUUUGUGGGUACUGGGGGCUAUUAGGGGGUAGGUGCCGACUUGGAGAUUAUGCCGGAGGGGAAUGGUUAAUGUAUGAUCAGGUCGCUCUAGAUCUAGGUUAUAUACCACUAUUCUUCUCUUGGCCGGGGUGGUGUUUCUCCGUGCAGCGUUUCGGUUGUUUUAUACUCCGAUCGUUUUUAAAACACUUGUCUAUUCCCUCGAGCGGCCGUUUAGUGUUCUUUUAGAACCAAAAUUUAACUAGGCCAAGCCAACCUCGACUCAACUAGGCGGAAAAAAAACUUUAUGUCGCUGCCCCCUAAGAAGAAUUUUGAUAUCUUCAAUUUUGCUACUGGCUCGAAGAGAAAGGCAGAGGAAGAGGAGGGCCUGGGCCCCCCCGCUCCCGCCAAGAAAUUACAGAUUGCUGCCCCUGUGCCAACCGUGCCAAAGCCGUUACUUGCUCUAUCAAUACCACUCGCGAUGGUUCGCGAGUUUUUAUCGAAGAUGACGGGUGAUGUCUCGGCCGCCGCCUCUACGAAGCAAAAAAAUCAAAACCUUAUGCCGGUUCUGCGGUCGCUCGCCGAUACAGAUUUAAAGUUCCCACAGGGUUUAGACCAUGGGCACUGCCGGGCCCUCUGGGUUCGGAAAGCUGGAAUUGGUGGGAAGGUUGUUGAAAGUUUAAAGCUGAAGGAGGGCGGGGGGAAUAAUGAUUCGCCUCGGGUGGUGUGUCCCGGUUUAGACGGGAAGAAGAUUUAUCUCUACCAUUUAGUGGUAGUUGACGAAGCAUCACGCUCACCAUCACCGAGACUGUCGUUAGACCUGUUGGCGGGGGUAUCGCAGCAAAAAGCCGAACUAUGCGCCAAGACGAUUCUCCAUCUUUGUGGGCACAAGUGGUGUACCGAGCCAAGUCAUUUUGCAGUAGGGUCGAAAAUGCUUAAUGACGAGCAGACAAGUUGUCAUCGGAUACUGCAGUCAGCUGAGACACAGGAGGAAUAUGAGACGAUUCAGCGUGUCGCUUGUCGGCAUAUACCAAAGUGCUGGACCGUCUUGUAUAGCGGGGAGUUCGCUGACCAGGUCGGCUGGGCGUUAGAGUAGACGGGUGGAUAGUGAUACGUUACUCUAUCGCGGGCAGGCCGGGACAUCGUCCUGCUGUGUACUUUUGCGUAGCGGUCCUUCUUCGUCUAGCGUCAAGCCCGCUAAGAAGGAUUCCCUUAGGUAUGAAAGCCUAUGGUGCAGACCCUUCCUAGGGUAUAUGGCCGUACGGGUCGCACCGUACAACCCUAUACAGCCGGCAAAAAAGACUGUGUAGGGGCGCCAUUUAGCGGCUGCCAAACUUUUACAAGUGCGCCUUUAGUGAGGUGGACACGCUUAUGACUUGAAUAUAGUGGGGUCUAGGGGUACAGGAUCUAACCUUCAACGGGUUUUAUAGAGGGUCUGUCGAGUUUAACGGCCAGCAGCCGCGGUAAUUCCAGCUCCAAUAGCGUAUAUUAAAGUUGUUGCAGUUAAAAAGCUCGUAGUUGAACCUUGGGCCUGGCUGGCCGGUCCGCCUCACCGCGUGCACUGGUCCGGCCGGGCCUUUCCUCCUGGGGAGCCGCAUGCCCUUCACUGGGUGUGUCGGGGAACCAGGACUUUUACUUUGAAAAAAUUAGAGUGUUCAAAGCAGGCCUAUGCUCGAAUACAUUAGCAUGGAAUAAUAGAAUAGGACGUGUGGUUCUAUUUUGUUGGUUUCUAGGACCGCCGUAAUGAUUAAUAGGGAUAGUCGGGGGCAUCAGUAUUCAAUUGUCAGAGGUGAAAUUCUUGGAUUUAUUGAAGACUAACUACUGCGAAAGCAUUUGCCAAGGAUGUUUUCAUUAAUCAGUGAACGAAAGUUAGGGGAUCGAAGACGAUCAGAUACCGUCGUAGUCUUAACCAUAAACUAUGCCGACUAGGGAUCGGGCGAUGUUAUCUUUUUGACUCGCUCGGCACCUUACGAGAAAUCAAAGUCUUUGGGUUCUG
rnacentral:ncRNA from 1 species